rnacentral:lncRNA from 1 species
UCGCGCUUGAAUCAGCAAUGUAACUUUUGAAAAUGAUUUUUUGACCUUAGUCUACAAAAAGAUCUCUAGGGGACCCCUCAAGAUACGUGCAAAAUAAUCUCUCUACACUCCUCCUCAUCUAUUUCCUCUGUUAUUUGACUUGAGCAUCGAAGAGUUCCUACCGAAGCCAACUCUGAUCAUGACUUACAUGCAGAUUUCUCUUUCGAGAGGAUGCACCAUCGCUCCAGUCUUUCCGACUUGAUCCAGAUUUCAGUGGUAAC